GGAUAUAGUCUCGUGGUGGGCCGUUUUUUAAGGCCGUCGGAAAAGCGCAGUAUUCAGGUGGGAGUGACCCGAUUUUCCAGGUGCCGUCUGUUACUCCUUUCUUUGACUAGGAAAGGGAACUCCCUGACCCCUUGCGCUUCCCGAGUGAGGCAAUGCCUCGCCCUGCUUUGGCUCGCGCACAGUGCGCGUGCACCCACUGACCUGUGUCCACUGUCUGGCACUCCCUAGUGAGAUGAACCCGGUACCUCAGAUGGAAAUGCAGAAAUCACCCGUCUUCUGCAUCGCUCACGCUGGGAGCUGUAGACUGGAGCUGUUCCUAUUCGGCCAUCUUGGCUCCUCCCAGAGGAAAGUACUUUCAAGCUUGCCUGAGGUCUGAGAAGCUGAGCUUUCUGCAGUGGUCUCAGUGGAACCUUUGACCAGAGCAUUCGAAGGGUGCCUUUCCUGUUUCCUUUCUCGGCAUUGAAACAUCAAGAUACGGAAUCCAGAAGGGUCACCAGAACCUGGCCCUCUGCAAUCUGGACUCGAGGCUGCAGACUUGCUGUUGAACUGGGCUGGGCAGGAGGGCAGAGUGGGCACCAGGGCCCACCUUCCUGGGGCCCUGAAAGGGUGGGAUGGUGUGUACUGGUCCCCUCACCCAAAUGCAGGUGUGGGAGGAGGACAUCCAUCAUGAUGCUACAUGGCAUUUGCUUCACCACCAGGAGAGAGGAGAAGUGGAGCCAAGCGUCAGAAACUGGCCAUAAACAGCAGGAGGGCCCAAGGUCUUCCCAGUGAGAGGAG
rnacentral:lncRNA from 1 species